rnacentral:rRNA from 1 species
UACGUAGGGGGCAAGCGUUGUCCGGAUUUAUUGGGCGUAAAGAGCGUGUAGGCGGUUAGGUAGGUCCGUUGUGAAAACUCGAGGCUCAACCUCGAGACGCCGAUGGAAACCAUCUAACUAGAGUCCGGAAGAGGAGAAUGGAAUUCCUGGUGUAGCGGUGAAAUGCGCAGAUAUCAGGAAGAACACCCGUGGCUAAGGCGGUUCUCUAGUACGGUACUGACGCUGAGGUGCGAAAGCGUGGGGAGCAAACAGG